CCAAGGAGUCUAGCAUGUGCGCGAGUCAUUGGGACUCUAACGAAACCUAAAGGCGCAAUGAAAGUGAAGGUUCGCCACGCGCGAACCGAGGGAGGAUGGACGGUCGAUCGUGGCCGUCCCGCACUCCCUGGGCGUCUCGUUCUCAUCGCGAGAAGAGGCGCACCAAGAGCGUACACGCUGGGACCCGAAAGAUGGUGAACUAUGCCUGGUCAGGACGAAGUCAGGGGAAACCCUGAUGGAGGUCCGUAGCGAUUCUGACGUGCAAAUCGAUCGUCGGAACUGGGUAUAGGGGCGAAAGACUAAUCGAACCAUCUAGUAGCUGGUUCCCUCCGAAGUUUCCCUCAGGAUAGCUGGCGCUCGCUUCUCGCGAGUCUCAUUCGGUAAAGCGAAUGAUUAGAGGCAUUGGGGUCGAAACGGCCUCAACCUAUUCUCAAACUUUAAAUGGGUGAGAUCUCCGGCUUGCUUGAACUGUGAAGCCGCGAGAUAUCGGAUCAGAGUGCCAAGUGGGCCACUUUUGGUAAGCAGAACUGGCGCUGUGGGAUGAACCAAACGCCGAGUUAAAGCGCCUAAAUCGACGCUUAUGGGAUACCAUGAAAGGCGUUGGUAACUUAAGACAGCAGGACGGUGGCCAUGGAAGUCGGAAUCCGCCAAGGAGUGUGUAACAACUCACCUGCCGAAGUUACUAGCCCUGAAAAUGGAUGGCGCUGAAGCGUCGUGCUUAUACUCUGCCGUCAGCGGCAUGUGAGACGGUCCUUAAGAGGUCGUCAUGAAGCCCUGACGAGUAGGAGGGUCGCGGCGGUGAGCGCAGAAGGACCAGGCGCGAGCCAGUCUGGAGCCGCCGUCGGUGCAGAUCUUGGUGGUAGUAGCAAAUACUCCAGCGAGGCCCUGGAGGACUGACGUGGAGAAGGGUUUCGUGUGAACAGCCGUUGCACACGAGUCAGUCGAUCCUAAGCCAUAGGCGAAAGCCGAUGUCGAUGCGGUGUAUCUUUCAGUGUCUGUAUGCUGCCUGCCUGCUGCUGCUGGCCGUUUGGCUGCUGCUGCUGCUGCUGCUGCUGUUAGGGCGGAGAGACUCACACCCGUCGGGCGAAAGGGAAUCCGGUUCCUAUUCCGGAACCCGGCAGCGGAACCGUUAUUAAGUCGUGCCCUCAUUCAGAGAGUUCGUCGGGGCAACCCAAAAGGACCUGGAAACGCCGCCGGGAGAUCCGGGAAGAGUUUUCUUUUCUGCAUAAGCGCUCGAGUUCCAUGGAAUCCUCUAGCAGGGAGAUAUGGUUUGGAGCGCGAAGAGCACCGCAGUUGCGGCGGUGUCCGGAUCUUCCCCUCGGACCUUGAAAAUCCAGGAGAGGGCCACGUGGAGGCGUCGCGCCGGUUCGUACCCAUAUCCGCAGCAG
rnacentral:rRNA from 1 species